GCGCUGGUGCUGGAAUUGGCAGACAGGUACGUUUGAGGGGCGUAUGCCGCAAGGCGUGAGGGUUCAAGUCCCUCCCAGCGCACAA
rnacentral:tRNA from 2 species